rnacentral:tRNA from 1 species
UCCCGCUUGACGUAGUGGUUUAACGUCUAGCUGGCUUUUACCGUUUUAUGGCAAGAGCAGUAGGUUCGAAUCCUACAGCGGGCA